UUCACUGUGAAUGAACAAAAACUGUCACGUGACCCCAAAAGUCAACGUCAGUAGGCGUUUUACGAAGGAAAACAGCCGCACCAGAUAUGUCACAUGUGUGUCGUUUUUGUGGAGAUGCCCUCAAAACCAAGUGGGGAUUAAAGCUGCACGAGGACAGGCAUCUCGGCGUGUCAAAAUAUUCAUGCUGUGAUAAGCAAUUUAGUAGAAAAGAGGACCUCACCAGACACAUGUGCGGUGUGCAUGGGGAAACGAAAGAACAUGUGUGUCCAACCUGCUCUGCAGAAUUUGCAACGAAAACUCUAUUAACAAGACACAGACGACGAGAGGAAGAAGAGGCAAGAUUCAAGUGUGAUGUGUGUGGCGCAGAGUUAAAACAAAGUGUGGACCUUCAGGUGCAUAUGCACAUCCAUAGUGACGAGAGAGUGCAAAAAUGUGACAUAUGUGACAAGACUUACAGGCACAGAAGUAGUCUGUAAAACACAGGGCAAACAAACAUGUCAAUUGAAUAUAAUAUUAUACAUUUUAGAGCAAGUUGUUGCACGCUAUUUUUAUUAUUUAGUUCUGUUUUGAUUUAUUAUUGUUCAUUGUUACCGGUAGUACAUUGUACAGUUAAUAUGAUCUCACAUUGUUUAUUUUUUUCCGUCCGAAUGCCGAGGUAUAUUGUUUUUCCCUCCUAAUAAUCAAUAAUAUCCGAUAGUGUUGUCAAUUCUUUGAAUUUGCUUGUUUGAUUUUUUCUUUAUCGCAGUUUGAUUUUCAAUAUGACCGGUUGAUGGUAUUAGCAGUAAUUGUUUGGUGAUAAUUUAACAUUAAAAUAGUACGAAUAUGUGUGUAUACCCCGAUAUCUUAAUGCAUUCAUGCCAAUCAGUAAUGUGUCACAUUUUAACCGCUUUGGCAGAUCAUUCAUUUGUUUUAAUUUACAUAGAUAUUCGGACGCAUUGUACUUUUAUAUUCCUAUUCAACGCACUUUUGUCUUGAAUCCUAAAACCCUGUAAACAUCGAAGGCGACUAUAUGUGUUAUAUUCUGAGAAA